rnacentral:rRNA from 1 species
UUCCGGUUGAUCCUGCCGGAGGCCACUGCUAUUGGAGUCCGACUUAGCCAUGCUAGUUGUCCGAAUUAGAUCGGAGCGGAAAGCUGAGUAACACGUAGUCAACCUGCCCUAUGGACCAGAAUAAUCUCGGGAAACUGAGGCUAAUUCUGGAUAGGUCAGACCGCCUGGAAUGGUGUCUGGCUGAAACGUUCCGGCGCCAUAGGAUGGGACUGCGGCUGAUUAGGUAGACGCCGAGGUAAAAUCUCGGCGUGCCGAUAAUCAGUAGCGGGAGUGAGAGCUCGAGCCGCCAGUCGUGUUCUGAGACAAGAACACGGGUCCUACGGGACGCAGCAGGCACGAAACCUUUACAAUGCGCGGAAGCGCGAUAGGGGGACUACAAAUGCUUCUCGUAAACAAAGCGGGAAGCUUUUCUGCACUGUAAAAAGGUACAGGAACAAGUGGUGGGCAAGACUGCUGCCAGCCGCCGCGGU